GAGAGCCUACGGGACGCAGCAGUGAGGAAUAUUGGUCAAUGGGAGAGAUCCUGAACCAGCCAAGCCGCGUGAGGGAAGACGGCCCUAUGGGUUGUAAACCUCUUUUGUCGGAGAACAAAACCCGGGACGUGUCCCGGACUGCGUGUAUCCGAAGAAAAAGCAUCGGCUAACUCCGUGCCAGCAGCCGCGGUAAUACGGAGGAUGCGAGCGUUAUCCGGAUUUAUUGGGUUUAAAGGGUGCGUAGGCGGUCCGUUAAGUCAGCGGUAAAAUUGCGGUGCUCAUCC
rnacentral:rRNA from 1 species